UACGGAGGGUGCGAGCGUUGUCCGGAAUCACUGGGCGUAAAGCGCACGUAGGCGGAUUCCUAAGUCGGUGGUGAAAUCCUGGAGCUCAACUCCAGAACUGCCUCCGAUACUGAGAGUCUUCGAGUCCGGGAGAGGUGAGUGGAACUGCGAGUGUAGAGGUGAAAUUCGUAGAUAUUCGCAAGAACACCAGUGGCGAAGGCGGCUCACUGGCCCGGUACUGACGCUGAGGUGCGAAAGCGUGGGGAGCAAACAGG
rnacentral:rRNA from 1 species